UACGUAGGGGGCAAGCGUUGUCCGGAUUUAUUGGGCGUAAAGCGCACGCAGGCGGUCUUUUAAGUUUCGAGUGACAGGUGGUGGCUUAACUGCCACAGGCCUUGGAAAACUGGAAGACUUGAGGACGAGAGAGGGACGCGGAAUUCCAGGUGGAGCGGUGAAAUGCGUAGAGAUCCGGAGGAACACCGAAGGCGAAGGCAGUGUCCUGGCGAGUGACUGACGCUGAGGUGCGAAAGCCAGGGGAGCGAACGGG
rnacentral:rRNA from 1 species